AGGAAUCUUCCACAAUGGACGAAAGUCUGAUGGAGCAACGCCGCGUGAGUGAAGAAGGGUUUCGGCUCGUAAAACUCUGUUGUUAAAGAAGAACAUAUCUGAGAGUAACUGUUCAGGUAUUGACGGUAUUUAACCAGAAAGCCACGGCUAACUACGUGCCAGCAGCCGCGGUAAUACGUAGGUGGCAAGCGUUGUCCGGAUUUAUUGGGCGUAAAGCGAGCGCAGGCGGUUUUUUAAGUCUGAUGUGAAAGCCUUCGGCUCAACCGAAGAAGUGCAUCGGAAACUGGGAAACUUGAGUGCAGAAGAGGACAGUGGAACUCCAUGUGUAGCGGUGAAAUGCGUAGAUAUAUGGAAGAACACCAGUGGCGAAGGCGGCUGUCUGGUCUGUAACUGACGCUGAGGCUCGAAAGUAUGGGUAGCAAACAGGAUUAGAUACCCUGGUUAGUCCAUACCGUAAACGAUGAAUGCUAAGUGUUGGAGGGUUUCCCGCCCCUUCCAGUGCUGCCAAGCUUAAACGCCAUAAGCCAUCCCGCCUUGGAGAGGCCCAAGC
rnacentral:rRNA from 1 species